UGUCUGACACGCCCCCAUUCGCCAUUUUGAAGGUAUUCGCGGACGCAAACACUAGGAAGAAUGGAUAAGAAAAAGCAGAACGAGAAAAUUCCUUACAGAGAAAAACUUACAAAUGAUGCCAGGGAUCGGUAUUUGGCUAAAUUGUCAAAAAUCAACAAUAUAGAUCCGUAUGAUCUCACAUAAAAAAUGGACAUUGUUGCCUCUAACUUCAUCUCUGGAUAUAACAAACUACCUUGUCUAUGGUAUCAGCGCUUACACAUAUGAACAGUUCAAGAACUAUCAAUCUCUUGAAGCCCACGGACAUUUCAUCAAUGGCUGGGUACAGGAUCUGUUCACAUUUCGAACGCAGUACUGCGACAACACAAUCGUCACUGCAAAGGGACGUUUCCAAGAUGUCCACUAGAAGGAGCACUUCUCCAAGGAAUAUGCAGUCCAGCCUGAAGCUGAGCUGUUCUGUCUCGAGUUCUGAGCUCCUGCACUGUUUCACGGCCUCACACAUUAUGGGUUACAGGACGUGAGACCUUAUUUGGAAGAGUAUAACAACAUAAAUAAAGGUUUUGUCAAAA